UAUAUAAUUGUUCAUGAGUUUUGUUUUUCGUCAGGCUUACAUAUCCUACAAAUAUUAAUAGUGCUAUAUCUAUUACACUCAAGACUAAAAAAUUUAUAUCCCAUAUAAAGGCCACACUGGACAAUUUGAGUUUUAAAUAACUCAAUGAUCAUAGAAGUCAGCCGAAGAUUAUCUAGCAUUCUUCUGUAGGUAUUCUGCGUAGGUAAAUUCUCUUUUUGCCAAAAAUGGGAGCUGAAAUUAUUGAAUUUUCUUUAAUAAAAGACUCUUAUCUAAUUUGAUUUUCAGGAGUUAUGUUCACAGAAGUUAUUUUUUUCAUUUAUUUAUCUCACACAAUGUUAGAUGAGAGAUAAUUCGUUUAUAUUGGUGCUUCUUGGUGGACAAUGAAAUGGGGUCAAUAUCUGUCAGCAUGUCCAUACAUCAGACACUAUUUUGUUUUAUAUGUACUCAUCUGACAUCAGGUGAAAAAGAGGGAGAUGAACAGAAAAGAAAUGCUGAUGUAUAUGAAAUACAUCGAAGAACUCGCUUCUAUUCUCAAUCUGAAAUUGGACUUCCCAAAAGCAUCUUCGAUCAUGA